GAAAGAUGGUUCUGCUAUCACUCUUGGAUGGACCUGCGGUGCAUUAGCUAGUUGGUAAGGUAACGGCUUACCAAGGCAAUGAUGCAUAGCCGAGUUGAGAGACUGAUCGGCCACAUUGGGACUGAGACACGGCCCAAACUCCUACGGGAGGCAGCAGUAGGGAAUCUUCCACAAUGGACGAAAGUCUGAUGGAGCAACGCCGCGUGAGUGAAGAAGGGUUUCGGCUCGUAAAGCUCUGUUGGUAGUGAAGAAAGAUAGAGGUAGUAACUGGCCUUUAUUUGACGGUAAUUACUUAGAAAGUCACGGCUAACUACGUGCCAGCAGCCGCGGUAAUACGUAGGUGGCAAGCGUUGUCCGGAUUUAUUGGGCGUAAAGCGAGUGCAGGCGGUUCAAUAAGUCUGAUGUGAAAGCCUUCGGCUCAACCGGAGAAUUGCAUCAGAAACUGUUGAACUUGAGUGCAGAAGAGGAGAGUGGAACUCCAUGUGUAGCGGUGGAAUGCGUAGAUAUAUGGAAGAACACCAGUGGCGAAGGCGGCUCUCUGGUCUG
rnacentral:rRNA from 1 species